GGCUCCAUUACCUNCUUAGAGUUUGAUCAUGGCUCAGGGUGGCUGGANCACCUCCUUAGAGUUUGAUCAUGGCUCAGGGUGGCUGGNNNACCUCCUUAGUAGCUYGGGMAURUGCUUAUSGUGGGUGGACAACCUCUGUAAACGANCGCUAAUNCCGCAUMAGGUUUACGGACCAWAGGGGSCAUCUUCGGCCUCUCGCCAUUUGAUUAGCCCAAGUGAGAUUAGCUAGUUGGUGAGGUAAUGGCUCACCAAGGCGACGAUCUCUAGCUGGUUUGAGAGGAUGAUCAGCCACACUGGGAYUGAGACACGGCCCAGACUCYUACGGGAGGCASCAGUGGGGAAUAUUGCACAAUGGGCGAAAGCCUGAUGCACCAUGCCGCGUGUGUGAAGAARGCCUUCRGGUUGUAAAGCACUUUCAGUUGUGAGGAAAGGGGAGUAAGUUAAUAGCUGCWUNCUGUGACGNUUACAACAGAAGAAGCCCGGCUAACUUCGUGCCAGCAGCCGCGGUAAUACSANGGGUGCAAGCGUUAAUCSGAAUUACUGGGCGUAAANCGUUCGUANGCCGGUCUAUUAAAGCAAGAUGUGAAAGCCCAGGGCUCAACCUUGGGAACUGCAUUUUGAACUGGG
rnacentral:misc_RNA from 1 species